rnacentral:lncRNA from 1 species
CCAAGGCAGAAGAACGGUAAGGGCUAGGCAAUGGGGGUCAAGUGACUUGUCCAGGGUCACACAGCUAGGAAGUGUCUGAGGCCAGAUUUGAACCCAGGACCUCCCCUCUCUAGGUCUGACUCUCAAAUCCAUUGAGCUACCUCCGAUGCCCCCAAUGGGAGAGUUUUUAAAGCCCCAUCACAUUCCUGGAGGCCAAGUUAAAUGGGUCAAGCUGGAGAAAAUUGACAUCCAGGUUGGGACAGAGUUCUUUCAGAUAGAGUGAGAUGAUGAAAAUAGACAACAGCUGACCUGAGCUUGGGAGGAAAUCUGGGGAUUGGAUGAGACUGAAGAGAAGAGAAGGCUAGGCAUGGAAGACAGAGUCAGCAAAAGCACAGAGGCUGGAGAUGGUCCCUUUUGGCCCCCAUCACAAAAAAAGGGCAAGAUCCGAGUAAAUGGCCAAAUUUCUAAUUUUUUAAAGUAGAGGAUAAAAUACUCAAUUCAUCGGAAAACUAUCUGGGUGACGGACACAAGAUCUCACAGCGAAUAUAUGUUGGAGUCAGGAGCCCCAAGUUCAAAUCUUCAAUCCAAGUCAUGAUGCUUUCAACUACCCUUGAAUGCCUGAAUCUUGGCUCUACCAUUUACUAUUUGUAUGGCGGGAUGGAGAUGUGCUCAAAGCCUCAAGUCACAGAAGCCAGUAAGAGAAGAUUCAAGAGGGGAAGGAAUGGAAGAAAAAGCAAUGAGAUGAGAUUAGCCCAGGGAGGAGGAUCCUUCUGAGUUCGAGGGACCUUAGAGGCCAUCUCAUCCAACCCUCUCAUUCAACAGCUGGGCUGCUGAGACCCAGGAAAAUCUAGAAUGGUUGUUAAGUGGCAAAGGCAAGAUUUGAACCCCUAUCCUCGGGCUCUACAGCCAGUAGGCUUCCACUGUAUUAAAUGCUGUUUCCUAGACGUUUUCCCCUUGGAGAAUGCUAUUAUUCUCCCUGGGUAGAAGGCUAGAGUCUGAAAUGUGACAAUAACUAUGAAAGUGGCAACGGAGACUCAGAUAUUUAAGUUUUUCUUUUGUUUAGUCAUUUCAGUCACAUCCAACUCUUUGUGACCCUAUUUUGAGGUUUUCUUGGCAUAGAUACUAGAGUGGUUUGCCAUUUCCUACUCCAGCUCAUUUUUACAGAUCAGGAAGCUGAGUCAAACAGGGUUAAGUGACUUGCCCAGGGUCCUACAGUUAGGAAGUGUCUAAAGUCAGAUGAGAACACAGAUUCUUCCAACUCCAGGCCUGACUCUCUAUCCACUGUGCCAUCUCAAUGCCUUCUCGAUGUUCUUUAAACAGACUACACUGAUAAUGAGAAAUACUGAACUAAAAAACUUUAGUUACCAGUUUCUUCUCUCACCAGACCCUUCACUUUGAAGCUUGCUGACCUCAGGAGUUGAAUCUCCUUUGCCUUCUUCCUAUUUCGAGGUAUAGACAGACACAAGUCCUUCAUUGGUGAAGCUUUUAAUUUAAUUUGUUUAAUUUAUAAUUAGCAGAAGGUGGGUGGCAAUUUCCGAUUCUGCCACUUAAUUUCCAUAUAACCUUGGACAAGUUGGCUAUCCUCUCUGGGCCUCAGUUAUCCUUUUCCAUAGAAUGAGCUAAUAAUUUUUGUCCCACCUACUCCAUUAGAAGAAAAGGACAAAACUGAAAGUUCUUAGAAUACCAAGAAUAAGAAUAAGCAUUUUUAUCUAAGCAACCUUCUGUUAAAUGAUCGAAAUUACAACCACUGACUGGGUUGCACCCUUGAAGAUAACCAGACCAGCUAAGGGGGAGUUCUAAAAGCGAUGUAUUCCUCAGGCAAAGCUUUCACUGGCUCUGGCCAUCUCUGGAUCAUGCUCUAAUAAAGCCAGUGUGUUCCCUUAGAGGGGCCA